GCAAGAACACCUGUAUAAUAGACGUCAUCGCCAAGGUCGAUUGUGCAUAGAGAGAACCUUUCGUCUACUCAAGUCUAGAUUCAGAUGCCUUCACAAGACCGGUGGUGUUUUACCAUUCAAGCCACAAAAAUGUGCAAGCGUAUUCAUGGCUUUUUGUCGCUUGCACAACCUGUGCGUGCAAAACGGUCUUCCAGAACCACCAGAACUUGAUAUGGAGGAGGACCAUGAUCUGGAAGUGGACGCACCUGACAACAACCUUGGUGGUCAGGCUGUGCGCAAUCAAUUUGUACAAAUACGUUGAUUGAUUGGAUAUGAUGGUUCAUAUAUGAGAGAAAUCCAGGCAUAGGUCACUUACAGCUUGCUGUAUGGCCUGGAUAUCUCCCGCAUAUGAACCAUGUCUCAUGUAUAAAUAUUUGUCAUUGUGUUUGUUAUUGUGUGGAUUGAUUGGAUAUGAUGGUUCAUAUGUGAGAGAUAUCCAGGCAUAGGUCACUUACAGCUUGCUGUAUGGCCUUGAUAUCUCCCACAUAUGAACCAUGUCUAAAUUAUAAAUAUUUUUCAUUUUUGAUUUUUAUUGUGUGGAUUGAUUGGAUAUUAUUGUUCAUAUGUAAAAGAUAUCCAGGCAUAGGUCACAUACAACUUGCUGUAUGGCCUGGAUAUCUCUCACAUAUGGACCAUGGCUCAUUUAAUAUAUUUGUUAUAUGGUACCUAUUUUCUCUGAACUAAAUAUUAUGUGUACAUUGCUUUUAGACUGUGGUUUGUAUGUGAGAGUUAUCCAGGCAUAGGUCACUUACAGCUUGCUGUAUGGCUUGGAUACCUCCCACAUAUGAACCAUGCCUAAUUUACAAAUAUUGGCAUUUGUGUGUGUAUUAAUUUGUGAAUUGAUAAGACACUGGUUCAUAUGUGAGAGAUAUCUAGGCAUAGGUCACUUACAGCUUGCUGUAUGGCCUGUAUAUCUCUCAUGGGAUCCUAGACAACAUGAAACUGGUUUUAAAUGGACUGUCGGAUCAUUGGCCUCUUCUUCAUCAUAUAUUGCCAUGAUGCGCUGACAUAGUGUCCCGUGCAAAUACAUGCAUGAAAGCUUAACCACACAAAUAACUGUAUAAUUACUGCCUUUCUAGUAUAUGUGUAUGUAUAUAUUCUUUAUUUAUCUCAAAAUCACGUGUAAUUAAAGCUUCUAUUGAAAAAUAAUCUAUAUGGCCAAUGAAUUAUGGGAGGGGGUAAUUGUUUGUUAGGACAAGGUCAAGUGAUUUUAGUAAUUAUGAUAAUUAGAAACCAUAUCUGUGAAGAACAUAAAUUUGAUUUUUAAAAGUUUAUAAUAUUUACUAAAAAAAUUAUGUCUGUGUUUAAUAUGGUAAUUUUAUGUAAUGAACUUAACAAAUUAUUUCAUAUAACAUGAGACAAAAAAUAAUGCACUUUAUAUCAAAUUAAAAAAAGAACUAUGAUAUAUAUUUGUAUAUAAAAUUAAUCAUCAUUUUCUUUCAGUUUAUUAAAAAUGUUUUGGUGAAAAGUGAAUAGACAAUUACUCUGUUAAAGAAAUUUAAUGAUAUUUUCAUAAAAUCAAAUCUUUAACAUAAAUUGAAUAGUUAAGCAUUGAUUUGACAGGCACACACAUAUUAACAACAGUUACAUUUCAAAAACAAAAUUGUCUGCAUAAUGUUUACUGGCAAUAAUUGACAAACUUGUGCUGAUUUUGUCAAGAAACUCAUUCCGCUGCACGUUCAACUCGUUGCUCCUUGUAUAUUCAGCAAGAAGCUGCCGCUGGACAUUCAACAGUUCAGCUGAACACUGGCACUCUACAAAAUAUCAAUUUGAACUAGUUGUCAUUAACUGCCCUUUUGUCACUCAAUUAUUUGUUUAACAAAUAAUAUGUUUAAACUGCAUGACAAACAUUUUUUGUCCAUGACUAUCUUAAAUAUUUUCUCAAAGAAGAUACACUUUUUAGAUCUUAGAGUAUUGGACUGGCAUUUCUCAUAGUUGUUUAGAAUGUAGAAAGCCAGCAAGUUAUGGCAAUAUUUGUAAAUAUGUAUUCAUGAUAAGUCACUAAGUGUAUGCGUUUGCUUGCAUAAAUUUGUUUUAUUUCAUUUUUUGUUUCAUGGUUCUUCAAUUACUGUUCAAUAAGUAGCUGUUCCUAUGUAUACUACUUGCCUGGAUUGAACUGACAGACUUGAAGAAUCCUUAUUAUACUAGUACUUUUAACAUGUAUAUGAAAAUAAAACAAUUAAUCACCUU